rnacentral:rRNA from 1 species
UGGGAACCUUCCCUAUGGUUCGGAAUAGCUCAGGGAAACUUGGGGUAAUACCGGAUAUGCCCUUCGGGGAAAGAUUUAUCGCCAUUGGAUGGGCCCGCGUCGGAUUAGCUAGUUGGUGAGGUAACGGCUCACCAAGGCAACAAUCCGUAGCUGGUCUGAGAGGAUGAUCAGCCACACUGGGACUGAGACACGGCCCAGACUCCUACGGGAGGCAG